CCUACGGGAGGCAGCAGUGGGGAAUCUUGCGCAAUGGGCGAAAGCCUGACGCAGCAACGCCGCGUGCGGGAAGAAGGCUUUCGGGCUGUAAACCGCUUUCAGCAGGAACGAAAAUGACGGUACCCGCAGAAGAAGGAGCGGCCAACUAUGUGCCAGCAGCCGCGGUGAUACAUAGGCUUCAAGCGUUGUCCGGAUUUAUUGGGCGUAAAGAGUUCGUAGGCGGUCGAGUAAGUCGGGUGUGAAAAUUCUGGGCUCAACCCAGAGACGCCACCCGAUACUGCUUAACUUGAGUUCGAUAGGGGAGUGGGGAAUUCCUAGUGUAGCGGUGAAAUGCGCAGAUAUUAGGAGGAACACCGGUGGCGAAGGCGCCACUCUGGAUCGAUACUGACGCUGAGGACGAAAGCAUGGGUAGCAAACAGGAUUAGAUACCCUGGUAGUCCAUGCCGUAAACGGUGGGCACUAGGUGUGGGGAUUCCUAUUAACGAAUUCCGNGCCGUCGCUAACGCAUUAAGUNCCCCGCCUGGGGAAUCGGUCGCAAGCUAAACUUAAGGAAUUGACGGUCUGNGAGNGCGAGNGACGACGAGGAGNGG
rnacentral:rRNA from 1 species